AUUGAACGCUGGCGGCAGGCCUAACACAUGCAAGUCGAACGCGUGGCGGACGGGUGAGUAAUGUCUGGGAAACUGCCUGAUGGCGGGGGAUAACUCCUGGAAACGGUAGCUAAUACCGCAUACCAUCGGAUGUGCCCAGAUGGGCUUAGCUUGUAGGUUGGGUAACGGCUCACCUAGGCGACGAUCCCUCGCUGGUCUUAGAGGAUGACCAGCCACACUGGAACGGAGACACGGUCCAGACUCCUACGGGAGGCAGCAGGAGGGAAUAGUGCACAAUGGGCGCAAGCCUGAUGCAGCCGUGCCGCGUGUAUGAAGAAGGCCUUCGGGGUGUAAAGUACUUUCAGCGGGGAGGCGUUACCCGAAGAAGAAGGACCGGCUAACUCCGUGCCAGCAGCCGCGGUAAUUA
rnacentral:rRNA from 1 species